rnacentral:misc_RNA from 1 species
ACUACUACAACACCUCAAUCCCGAACAAGUUGGAGUUGGCUAUAUAAAUCCUCACCGACUAUGUCACUCUUUUUAAUCAAGCCAAUGUUAUUAUACAAAAUAAGAAUAAAAACUCAUCUCUUUACUUGUAAAUGAUGAUGCAUAAUUGUACUGUAGCUGUUGUGCCCUUGUUGUUCGGAGGCAAUAUAACUAGCCGGUUGAAAUAUGUUGUGGAGAAGCUUCAAGAUCAUGAGCUAAA